ACUUCGUUCGGCAUCCUUCCCUUUCUCUGCCAGCAAACCGAAGAUAAAACCUUGUGUUCCACUUCUCUCUCUCUCUCUCUCUCUCUCUCUCUCUCUCUCUUUGUGAGAUCUAGAUUUGGAUAGAGAGAAAUGGGCAUCUUGCGAACUGUAUCCUGAUUUGCGUUGGAAGUUUUCGUGUCCUUUCUUUUCGUCUUGGGCAUGGAUGUGCAUUUGAGGGAUCUGUUCACUAGAUUUCAAGAGCAGUUUGGAUCAGGGCCAGGCCUUGGCCCAAGCUCUGGGACAUGUCUUCUCAGGGUGGAAGGGAUAAACCCAGCUUUCAUCAGGUCCUUGUAUAGAGCUGCUGCUGCUCUGUAUAGAACCGACCCAUGGAAGAGGUUUAGGCCUGGCCAUUUGUUUGGUGUCAGGGUGGGCAAAGAUACGGACUGGUCAGGAAGGAAGCAGCUUUUCCCUUGUGUUCAGUUCAUUGGAGGUGAAGGGGGGAAUCUGGGCCUCAACAUGUUCCGGUCAGAGCAGGACGCUAUCAAGAUGACGGGUUCCACAGGAACCAUCCGCAUUCCAAAUGUGGAUCUUCUUAGAGUCACCUUUGAGCCUGAGUCCUUGAUGUUUCCAGCCAACCGCAGGAUGAUUGCGUCCCUGUCAUUGGAAGCCUCCGGAGCCAACCUGUUUCCCGCAAUUGAUGUUGGUCGGUGCACUGCAACCGGUAACCUUCAGUUCAGGAAUCCAACUGUCGAGGAGCUUCGUUUUCUCUAUGCAUUCAUGAGGGCCAUGGUUUUGCUUCACCCAUUGUUGCAACCUGCAAAAGAGGUCAUCCCUAAGCGAAGUAGUUUGACGAGUUUCGAGCCGUUUAUUGAGACGGUUGAUGUUCAAUGGCCUCCUGAGUUGGCUAAGACAUGGGAGAUCGUUGCCGUCACUGUGUCGCAUCCACCAGGACAGGUCUAUGAGGAGAGGAGAAGCGCGUCACCAAAUUUGACACCUACCAAGAUAGCAGAACAGCAGUUCAAAGAUGAUCAAUUUUCGGAUAUAAGAGCCUUUCGUGAUCGGGAUCCUACAAGAAAGUGUGCAGUUUGUGAAAAAGAUGUUUACAGUGAGCAGUCACUGAGCUGUGCACGAUGCAGAGCUGUGGUCUACUGUGGGCCAAACUGUCAGAAGCAGCACUGGAAGGAAACACACAAGGGCAUGUGUGGUCUCUACAAGGUGAUGAUGGAGAGGGAAGAAGAGCUAGACAUGAAGAUAUUUGUAUUUCCCUGCUUUAUUGAGAAUCCAUGCAAGUGGCUUGAAUCAAUGGGCCUUCAUCAGAAAGGCAUGUGGAAGAGGAUCUGCAAUUGUCAUUCGAAUUGCCCUUUCGGUCUCCUCCCUUCUGCCAAAGGCCUGGCCGACGCUUGGGGAGGCCUAAGCAAUAGUGAUUACCCGCCCAAUUGUCCAUUUUCAGAGCAUCUCCGCGAGUCAGUCUCUACUCCAAUUCUCCUAUCAAGUUGGGCAGAGUAUUACAGUCUCAGAUCUCUUUCACUCUCAAGUCCAGCGGCUGUACUUCUUGCUUACCCCUUAACUGUGUAUCAUAUUCUAACUGCGUUGGGCAUCAGUUCCAAAAACCUCCUUCUCAAGGGAAGGGAGGUCAUUGUACACUACUUGGGCCCAGAACUUGAGCUUGAUUGGAUGCCAGCCUUUUCUGAAAUUGGCCAUCUUCUCAAUGGGUCUGGCAAUUUGCAGAUUGUCAUGGUGGGGCCAGAAGUACCAACAAAUCUAUCAGGAACCGUUUCUGGUAUAAGCAGUAGGGUGAGGAUCAACUUUGUCAGAGGGCUGUAUCAGGAGGAAGCUACUUAUCUACCCACUCCUCAUGUCAUUGUUGCACUGAAUUCUGGGUUGGACAGUUGCCCGAGCUGGGGUGGAGCCCUUGAUCUCAUAAAAUCCCUGAACGCCCCUGCUUACUUCACAGAGUACUCUGAGAUGGCCUGUACAAAUGCCAAGCAGGUUCUCCGAGGUUCAGGACUGCAUAUAAGUUAUCCUGUGACGCCAAAUCCUUUCCGUUCCCCAGUGAGGAGCCAGGCACCUUCUAGUAAUUUACCAUCAUACAGCAAUGGCUUCAUCUUUGGCGUGGGGACUUGAUAAUGCACGUGUGGAAGUUAUUUACUGUUGCUUCUUUUUAUGUUCAUUGCCAUGAGUGGUCAACAGUCACCUUUUAUACUAUUUAAGAAGCGAAAAUGGCAACGAAAGCCGCUUCCCACCACUCGCUCAAGCGCAGCAGCUCAGUUCCUCAUCCAUUCUUCCCCACUCUCCCUCUCUCUCCCUCUGCCCAAAAAGUGCCGCCUCGGGGAGGUAGAGAAGAAGCAGGCAAGAAGAAAAUGGCGGCUUUCCUGGCGAUGGAUGCUUCGCGAUGGUCGUCAUCCUUCAGCAACCGUAGCCAUAUCGAUUGGGCCGUGACGCCUGAAGCCUACAUCUUCUCCGCCUCCCUUCCUGGUGCGAGGAAAGAGGAAAUCACGUUGGGGAUCGAGGACUCCCAGUACGUUUGCAUCGAGACCGAGUCGGUCGGUGGCGGGAGAAGGGGGUUGUGGAGGAAAUUCCGGCUGCCGGACGGGGUGGACGUGGCCCGUGUCUCAGCAGAGUUCCGGAACGGAGUCUUGUCCAUUACCGUUCCGAGGUUGGCGCCGGUCCCGCUGCCCCCCGUCCCUACCACAAGGUUCAGGGUCGACCCGGGGGACGUAGCCGCCGAUAACCACCAUGCUGUCGCGCGAGCGGCGUAAUCCAUCCAUUGGUCGGCAACGGUGGCUCUCUCAAAAUUUUAUAUUUCUACGUCUGCUGCCAUUGGGAAUCCUACCGAGUGGUGCUGAUUACUACCCUCAUUCGUUUAAACUAGACAGUAAAAGAGAGUCGAGCAUGAACAAUUUCCUUUGGGUAAGAUGGAAUGUGAGAUUUUAUAGUAAAAAAGCGUUUUCCAUAGUUCGUUAGCGGCUCACAGGGCAUACGCUUGUAUGGUGUAAUGUAAAAUUUUAUAAGGGUAUAUGAUGUAAUAUAAAAUCUUAAAUGGGUAUAUGAUGUAAUAUAAAAUUUUACAUGGGUAUAUGAUGUAAUAUAAAAUUUUACAUGGGUA